rnacentral:lncRNA from 10 species
GAGGAGACGGCUCUGCAGCCAGAGAAGGGCCUGAGGACUGUGGGACCGAGAGCUGGAGGCAGCACUUUAGUGCUUGUAGCUCUUCCUGCUGGAGGAGGAGGUGGUGGUGUACUUGAUGGUGGAACUGCCGCCUCCAACAGAGCUGAGGCCACCCCCAAUGGCUCUGCCACUGCUGGAACUGAAGCCACCUCCAACGCCAAGACCACUGCCAUAGGAGUAGCUGCUUCCUCCACCCAGGCCACCACUGCCCCUGGAGCGGGACACGGAGACGCUGCUGAAGCCAGAGCGGCUGACCCCAGGGAGCCUGGCUGAGUUGGCACUGAAACCCCGGCGGC